rnacentral:lncRNA from 1 species
AGAUCCUGAGCGCCUACCCCGGGUGGCAACGCCUCUCAGAGAGCGUCCCGGCCCGCCUCCUCCUAAAGCUCGGGCCCUCUGGGACUGCUAGGAGGGGAAAAUCGUUUCAGGAUUGGAAAGGAAGGUACCAAAAUGAUUGGAGAGGGCCUUUCCCCGUUUCACUAGGCACUUGGAGAAGCUGUGACAGAGAGCUGGACACCCAGCGCGUGCGGACCCCGAGCGCCAACACUACCAAGCUUCCCCCUGCAAAAUUCAGAAAGGAUGCGCUUUGGUGAGAACUUGGCUCAGCCUUCCCGUGGCUUGGGAGAUGAGGUUGGAGUGAGAAUGUCACCAGACCUCGGAAGGGGACAUAACGGUACCUCCUAGUCCCAGGACACGGGUGGAUUGUAAUUCCUGAGUUAAAUAAAGAGGCAACGAUAGACACACAGCAUAUAUAUCCUGGGCAGACUACACUCCUUGACAUCUAAUCCCAGUUAGCUUUCUGAGCUGGUCGCCUGAUCUCGUUUAGCAGGGCAGGAGCCUGUGUUCCCAUUUCUUACUAGCUGGGCUGCCGAUGACCUAGCUCAGCCUUGGUUUUCCUCCGGUUGAACAAAAGCUGGCAAGAGCUGCCUCCCGGAUCGCAGUGAGGACUCUAAGGGAACGAGGGCGAACGCGCUUUGGAAAGCCAGUUGCUGAGCAGAUGAAGUCUGGAGAACUGACCCAAGAAGAAGGACCAACAAUUCAGGCUCAGGAAAGCCCACAAUUCCACAGGGGAACCAGGACUGCAUGGCUUCGAAUCCCAGCCCUCCCCACUCAGGAAACAUUGCUCCCCAAACGGCACGGAUUUCUGGACGCCUCCACCUUAAGACAGCUACUUCAGCCAGAACGUGGGACAGGCACUAACGGGAUAUCACCCUUGGGGAUAAACACGCUCCAGUUUCCUGUGGACGGUGGAAGAGGAAAGAACAGGAGAAGCUGCCAAAGGGAUGGGGUGUAGGAAGCUCAUCCUUGCACGUUUAGACUAGGGAAGAAGAGAAUAUUAGGGAUGGGGGAGGGGGGAGGAUGGGAAGUGUAGUUUUUCCCCUUCCUUCCUUUCAUUUCAGAUCCCAUUUAGUGCUUUUAUUUCUUUAAUUUUGAAAACUAUUUCCCUUUCCUGAAUCUGGAUGCGGGCAGGGAGCGAACUCAAGGAAAUGAUGAGCAUGGAUGAGAGCCAGGGGACAGGAGAUAUGUCCUGGGAACUCAAACUCUGCUGCUUCGCCACUGUCUCCGAGAUGCCCUGAGCCUUAGCCCAAUGUAAAGGGAGCUGAUUGGGUGUAUGGGCAGUGGCGGGUGGUCUGAGUAAGAAAUAAAAUGAGGGCAAGCCAGAUCUACUCCCAUCCCAAAGCAUUAAAAGACACACCUCCCCACCCCUCAGCUGUCUUGUGUCCGGCAGAAUGGCAUUAUGUAAAAGAUCUGGCAUGUCACCCAGUGGCACAUCUGGUAGGUGUAGAUGGCAUUCAUUAGCACGGGGCUUCUACUCUGCAGCAUGCCAAAGCUCUGACAGAGAUGCCCGCUGCCAAUCAUUCAUUGGCUGCCAAUCCCCAAGCGCGGCCGGGCGGGAUGGCUUCCUUCCACCCUGGCAUCAGGAGUGGAGGAAACAAUGUGUUGAGAUAGAAGAGAUGAAAGUGGAGCUGAGGAUGCGAGGCACCCAACAGAUGUAUCCCAUGAGGAGAUAACGGUGCUAAAAGUCAUUUAGCAAGAAAGCAUAUGCAGGAUCUCAGGAGGGAGGCUUGGGCAGGGGGUCUGCUUGCCUAGGGCUGAGCUGAAGGAAAAGCAGGGGAGCCCUUUCAGAAACCUGAAAGUUGAGGUUGCUUCUCUAAAAACACACAAAGACCAAAACCUCAACCCCCUAAGUGUAGGAUUUCCCCCUCUCUUUGGUUUGUCACUUGUAUCUCUUUUUAUCUAGCAACCUAACUACCUCUGUAAAGGUCAACCUUUGUCAUGUUUUUUUCUGAGGACCGAGAUGAAGAGCACCUUCCUGUUUUAAAUUUUGCAUAAUUCUCAUAGACUAGUAAUUUGGGGGCUAAGGGGAGGAAGACUGUCAGGCUAUCUUCAGUGCAUCGUAAAAGGCAAAGGUCUUAUUUCCAUUAUUAGCUUUUCAGAGGGGAUAAAGAUGAACAAAGGAAAGCAAGGAAAUUAUUAAAAUGGCAAAGGAAGAUUAAACACAAAAUCCAGGAUAGAGGUUGCCUUUGAGGUUGUUCUUUUUCUUAGGCUGGGUGGCAAUUAACAAAGUGUUCAGCGUAGUUUUUCUUUAUGCCAUAUACAUAUUUUACAUUCUUUUUAUCCAUUCACAACUUAAUAAAGCAACAACAAAACUCAGGGCUUUGAAAGUUUGUGGAACUUGGUGUUUAAGUUGACUCUAACUUAAGCUCUUUAGUUUAUAUAUAUAAUAUAUAUUUGUGUGUAUUAUCUAUACAAUUAUACUCUUUUUAGUAUAUGUUAUAAAAUAUUUGGGACAUAUACUAUAAAUUUAUUCAUAUUUUAUCUAAAACUGAAACUUUAGUUGGCCAUUACAUAUAUUUAUUUGCUAAAUCUAGCAACCUUGGGUAUGUUGGCUCAUGGUCACAAUAUAGCUGCUGUAAUUCCAAGCAUCAAACCAUCGUUUUAAACAUGAAGAAAGGAACAGGGGCAAAAAGCUGUGGUUGUUUGCUUAAUCAAUGAAAAGAAUACUUUCACUUUCAUUAGGCAGACCUGGAUCUCCUGGCCACAUAUACAUGCAAAAGAGUUUGGGAAAAUUAGCCUUUAAAGUAUAAAAAGAUAGCGAUAAAGGACUGGGGAUGGUUGUUGGGUUGCAAUCAAAGGUGUCUGACAAAGAAACCGAAGAUCAAAGAAGAGUUAAUGUUAACAUCAAACAAGAGUAUAGCUUAUCAAGUUUUUUCAUUGUUUUAAAUAAAAGUUUUCUGUUUUCAUUAUUGUGAUUAAAGGGAUACUGUUCUUGA